AUCUGAAGUCUGCAGGACGGUAGCUCUCCAGGAGCAGGGUUGGAGAUCCCUGAUCUAGGAUCUUUUUGGAUUCUGGGAGCUGUUCCUUUUCCUCUAGGGAUGUGUUUGCAGUCAUCACUCAUAGCAUGAAGAAAGAUAUUACAGUCCUUGGUGUGGAAUCUCAUUGUAGAUCGAAUGUAUAUGCUUUGCAAAUUCACAAUAAAACAUUACCAUCACAAUAAAACAAUGUUACUGUAAGGAAUCAAUAUGCAAAGGGUCCUCUGUAAAUACCCUUAAACGGAGGAGUUUUAAACUGCCUUUACACUAUUGCCAAUAAACAACAGAACGGAAGUCAUUCAUUUCCAUUGAAGAGCAUAUGAGCUGUGUGAAGUUCUGACAAUUUGCAUAAUGUGGAAUUUUCAUGUCUAAUUUCAGCUUUGGAUAUGUUGAAAUAUUUUGUGUCUUGACCGUAUGUGACUGCCUCAUUUCUGUAAAAUGGGUUAUUAUGAAUAAUUAUGUCUGACAUAAUUAUUUUGUAAUUGUUAAAUAAUUAUUUACAAUGAUUAGCACUAUAAAAACGACUGUUUUUUUUUUUUAGAUGUAUCGGUGCUGAUUUAUUGGUGAAUAUGACAAGUUUGAAAGUUCCAUGCAGCUGUCACUAGGGGUGAAAUGCAAAUGUCACACUUAAGUCUUUGAACCUGACAACCCUUUUCAUUUUCAUUAAACAGAAAAGAAUGGCCAUUUCAACUA